UUUAGUGGUCGUUCGGUUGUUAAAUUAUCAAAGUUUCCCUUUAUAAGAAUCUUUUUUGUAUGGUGUAAUAGUUUUUUUAAGUUUGAAGCCAUAUUUUAGGAAAAUCGGGUCAAAGUUGACCGACUUAUGGUCAGUAUUGCCUGAUAAAGCUUUGAGGACAUAUGUGCCGCUAACUCAGAAAAUAUUAAUUCUAUUAAAAUUUUUAUAAGAACCUUUUUUAUUAGGCACAUUAAAUCAUACAUUUUAGGUCAAGUUUCAGGAAAAUCGGGCCAAAAUUAGCUGACUUAUGGCCAAUUUUGUCCAUACCAAACCUUAAGGACGUUAUAUAUAUAUAUAUAUGCAGCCAAAUUAAAAGCUUAGUAGUUUUAUUUAAAUUUUUAUAACAAUUUUUUUAUUUAAGCAUAGUAAAUCCUACGAUUUAUGCCAUAUUUGAGGAAAGUCGGGCCAAAAUUGGCCUACUUAUUAUUUUUCCGUGAAAAAAAUUGCAUGCUCGGAGAUACCCGAAAAAGGAAAAAACCCAAACUUUGAAGGCCGAUAACUCGGCUUCUAUGGGAGCUAUCGAGAAAAUUCCAACGGUUUUGUCUUAGUUUCGUCCUUCUGAAUCCAACGAGACCAUCCGCAAGGUUGUAGCUUUUACGAUAGCCGAGAUAUGGCAUUUUUGAUGCCCAUUUUUGGCCUCAAAAACGACGUCAAAAAGUGACAAUUUCCGAAUUUUCAAAGUGCUCUCAUUCCCUUAUUUCUGAUCGAAUCCUGUUAUAACCCGGUAUUUUCGUGAUCUACUUGAUGAGAACAAUCCGCUGGUAUCGUUAGUUCAAAUUCGAAAAAAAAUAUUUUUCCUGAAAAAAUCGAAACGGGGGGGUAUACCCGAAAAAUGAAAAAACCCAAACUUUGAAGGCCGAUAUCUCAGCUUCUAUGGGAGCUAUCGGAAUAAUUCCAACGGUUUUGUCUUAGUUUCGUCCUUCUGAAUCCAACGAGGCCAUCCGCAAGGUUGUAGCUUUUACGAUAGCCGAGAUAUGGCAUUUUUGAUGCCCAUUUUUGGCCUCAAAAACGACGUCAAAAAGUGACAAUUUCCGAAUUUUCAAAGUGCUCUCAUUCCCUUAUUUCUGAUCGAAUCCUGUUAUAACCCGGUAUUUUCGUGAUCUACUUGAUGAGAACAAUCCGCUGGUAUCGUUAGUUCAAAUUCGAAAAAAAAUAUUUUUCCUGAAAAAAUCGAAACGGGGGGGUAUACCCGAAAAAUGAAAAAACCCAAACUUUGAAGGCCGAUAUCUCAGCUUCUAUGGGAGCUAUCGGAAUAAUUCCAACGGUUUUGUCUUAGUUUCGUCCUUCUGAAUCCAACGAGGCCAUCCGCAAGGUUGUAGCUUUUACGAUAGCCGAGAUAUGGCAUUUUUGAUGCCCAUUUUUGGCCUCAAAAACGACGUCAAAAAGUGACAAUUUCCGAAUUUUCAAAGUGCUCUCAUUCCCUUAUUUCUGAUCGAAUCCUGUUAUAACCCGGUAUUUUCGUGAUCUACUUGAUGAGAACAAUCCGCUGGUAUCGUUAGUUCAAAUUCGAAAAAAAAUAUUUUUCCUGAAAAAAUCGAAACGGGGGGGUAUACCCGAAAAAUGGAAAAAACCCAAACUUUGAAGGCCGAUAUCUUGGCUUCUAUAGGAGCUAUCGGGAAAAUUCCAACGGUUUUGUCUUAGUUUCGUCCUUCUGAAUCCAACGAGACCAUCCGCAAGGUUGUAGCUUUUACGAUAGCCGAGAUAUGGCAUUUUUGAUGCCCAUUUUUGGCCUCAAAAACGAGGUCAAAAAGUGACAAUUUCCGAAUUUUCAAAUUGCUCUCAUUCCCUUAUUUCUGAUCGAAUUCCGUUAUAACCCGGUAUUUUCGUGAUCUACUUGAUGAGAACAAUCCGCUGGUAUCGUUAGUUCGAAUUCGAAAAAAAAUAUUUUUCCUUAAAAAAUCGAAACGGGGGGGUAUACCCGAAAAAUGAAAAAACCCAAACUUUGAAGGCCGAUAUCUCGGCUUCUAUAGGAGCUAUCGGGAAAAUUCCAACGGUUUUGUCUUAGUUUCGUCCUUUUGAAUCCAACGAGACCAUCCGCAAGGUUGUAGCUUUUACGAUAGCCGAGAUAUGGCAUUUUUGAUGCCCAUUUUUGGCCUCAAAAACGACGUCAAAAAGUGACAAUUUCCGAAUUUUCAAAGUGCUCUCAUUCCCUUAUUUCUGAUCGAAUCCUGUUAUAACCCGGUAUUUUCGUGAUCUACUUGAUGAGAACAAUCCGCUGGUAUCGUUAGUUCGAAUUCGAAAAAAAAAUAUUUUUCCUGAAAAAAUCGAAACGGGGGGGUAUACCUGAAAAAUGAAAAGACCCAAACUUUGAAGACCGAUAUCUCGGCUUCUAUAGGAGCUAUCGGGAAAAUUCCAACGGUUUUGUCUUAGUUUCGUCCUUCUGAAUCCAACGAGACCAU